UACGUAGGGUGCGAGCGUUAAUCGGAAUUACUGGGCGUAAAGCGUGCGUAGGCGGUUCGUUGUGUCUGUGGUGAAAGCCCCCGGGCUUAACCUGGGAAUGGCCAUGGAAACUGGCGAGCUGGAGUGUGGCAGAGGGGGGUGGAAUUCCGCGUGUAGCAGUGAAAUGCGUAGAGAUGCGGAGGAACACCGAUGGCGAAGGCAGCCCCCCUGGGCUGAGAUUGACGCUCAGGCACGAAAGCGUGGGGAGCAAACAGG
rnacentral:rRNA from 1 species